rnacentral:sRNA from 1 species
GCCGGGUGUGGUGGCACACGCCUGUAAUCCCAGCAGCUCAGAAGGCUGAGGCAGGAGGAUCGCGAGUUCAAAGCCAACCUCAGCAAAAGUGAGGAGCUAAGCUUAAGACCCUGUCUCUA